rnacentral:rRNA from 1 species
AUGCAAAUAGAUAAGUAUGGCUGUAGACUUGUAAAUUUCUCUCGUCUAAUUCACAGUGGUAAAAGGCAGAGGAUGUGCCUUUUGUAUUUGCCACCAGUUGACCAAGUGUUCUACGUGGGUGACCAUGUUUAUCAAGGAUGGUCAAUUUUUUUGAAGUUGAAGCCUGGAGAUAAUUUAGAUAUGUGUGGAGAAUGGAAUAAUGUGGAAACAGAACCUUAUCAUGUCAGCAAUUUCUUUGAGCUUUUUGAUACUGCACAUAAGAAACAAAAUGGGAUGAGAAGAGAUAUAGAGGGAGAAACUGUAGAUGCUCCUAUACUGCCAAGUGAUGACACAAUACCUCAAUAA